rnacentral:rRNA from 1 species
CCUACGGGUGACAGCAGUGGGGAAUAUUGCACAAUGGGGGAAACCCUGAUGCAGCAACGCCGCGUGAGUGAUGAAGGCCUUCGGGUUGUAAAGCUCUGUCAUCAGGGACGAUAGUGACGGUAGCUGCUGAGGAAGCAGCGGCGAACUACGUCGCAGCAGCCGCCGUAAUACGGCGGGGGGGAGCGUUGUCCGGAGUUACUGGGCGUAAAGGGGGCGGCGGCGGACUUUUCAGUGCGACGGGAAAUACUCGGGCUCAAACUGAGUGCUGCAUUUGAAACUGGAAGUCUAGAGUGCGGGAGAGGAGAACGGAAUUCCUAGUGUAGCGGUGAAAUGCGUAGAGAUUAGGAAGAACACCAGUGGCGAAGGCGAUUCUCUGGACUGUAACUGACGCUGAGGCUCGAAAGCGUGGGGAGCAAACAGGAUUAGAUACCCGUGUAGUC